AUCUUAUUUCGAGAAGCUGAGGGACUUGGCCCAGUGAUGCUUCAGCAACCGGCUGUGUAGUACGGUGCUAAAACCAACGAUACACUCGAAUGAUAAGUA
rnacentral:ncRNA from 23 species